UACGGGGGGGGCAAGCGUUGUUCGGAAUUACUGGGCGUAAAGGGCUCGUAGGCGGCCAACUAAGUCAGACGUGAAAUCCCUCGGCUUAACCGGGGAACUGCGUCUGAUACUGGAUGGCUUGAGAUUGGGAGAGGGAUGCGGAAUUCCAGGUGUAGCGGUGAAAUGCGUAGAUAUCUGGAGGAACACCGGUGGCGAAGGCGGC
rnacentral:rRNA from 1 species